rnacentral:rRNA from 1 species
CAGAGGCCCCAAGCGUUGUUCGGAUUUACUGGGCGUAAAGGGUGUGUAGGGGGUUAGGUUAGUCUGACGUGAAAUACCGUUGCUCAACAACGGAACUGCGUCGGAUACUGCCUAGCUAGAGGUUCGGAGAUGAGGGCGGAAUUCUCGGUGUAGCGGUGAAAUGCGUAGAUAUCGAGAGGAACGCCGAUGGCGAAAGCAGCCCUCAAGACGAAAUCUGACCCUGAAACACGAAGGCCAGGGGAGCAAACGGGAUUAGAUACCCCGGUAGUCCUGGCAGUAAACGGUGCUCAUUAGAUGUAGGCGGAUUCGACCCCGCCUGUGUCGAACCUAACGGAUUAAAUGAGCCGCCUGGGAAGUACGGUCGCAAGAUUA